rnacentral:piRNA from 1 species
UCAAAGCUCUGUGCCUAGUACCCAC